UACGUAGGGCGCGAGCGUUGUCCGGAAUCAUUGGGCGUAAAGAGCGCGUAGGCGGUCCGGUAAGUCCGCUCUGAAAGUCCGGGGCUCAACCCCGGGAGGCGGGCGGAUACUGUCGGGCUAGAGUCCGGAAGAGGCGAGUGGAAUUCCUGGUGUAGCGGUGAAAUGCGCAGAUAUCAGGAGGAACACCAAUGGCGAAGGCAGCUCGCUGGGACGGUACUGACGCUGAGGCGCGAAAGCGUGGGGAGCAAACAGG
rnacentral:rRNA from 1 species